rnacentral:rRNA from 1 species
UCAAACGAUUAAUAGCUUAGCCGCGGGCUAUCAUGCAGUCGACGCACUCUCGUUAGAUUGAAGAAGCUUGCUUCUGAUUGAUAACAUUUGAGUGAGUGGCGGACGGGUGAGUAACACGUGGGUAACCUGCCCUAAAGUGGGGGAUAACAUUUGGAAACAGAUGCUAAUACCGCAUAAAACCUAGCACCGCAUGGUGCAAGGUUGAAAGAUGGUUUCGGCUAUCACUUUAGGAUGGACCCGCGGUGCAUUAGUUAGUUGGUGAGGUAAAGGCUCACCAAGACCGUGAUGCAUAGCCGACCUGAGAGGGUAAUCGGCCACACUGGGACUGAGACACGGCCCAGACUCCUACGGGAGGCAGCAGUAGGGAAUCUUCCACAAUGGACGAAAGUCUGAUGGAGCAACGCCGCGUGAGUGAAGAAGGUUUUCGGAUCGUAAAACUCUGUUGUUGGAGAAGAACGUAUUUGAUAGUAACUGAUCAGGUAGUGACGGUAUCCAACCAGAAAGCCACGGCUAACUACGUGCCAGCAGCCGCGGUAAUACGUAGGUGGCAAGCGUUGUCCGGAUUUAUUGGGCGUAAAGCGAGCGCAGGCGGUUUCUUAAGUCUGAUGUGAAAGCCUUCGGCUCAACCGAAGAAGUGCAUCGGAGACUGGGAAACUUGAGUGCAGAAGAGGACAGUGGAACUCCAUGUGUAGCGGUGAAAUGCGUAGAUAUAUGGAAGAACACCAGUGGCGAAGGCGGCUGUCUGGUCUGUAACUGACGCUGACGCUCGAAAGCAUGGGUAGCAAACAUGAUUAGAUACCCUGGUAGUCCAUGCCGUAAACGAUGAGUGCUGGUGUUGGAUGCUUCCGCCCUUCAGUGCCGCAGCUAACGCAUUAAGCACUCCGCCUGGGGAGUACGACCGCAAGGAUGAAACUCAAAGGAAUUGACGGGGGCCCGCACAAGCGGAUGAAGCAUG